GAUGAAGAACGCAGCGAAAUGCGAUAAGUGAUGUGAAUUGCAGAAUUCAGUGAAUCAUCGAGUCUUUGAACGCACAUUGCGCCCCCUGGUAUUCCGGGGGGCAUGCCUGUCCGAGCGUCAUUGCCGCCCUCAAGCACGGCUUGUGUGUUGGGCCCCCGCCCCCCGGCUUCGGGGGGCGGGCCCGAAAGGCAGCGGCGGCACCGCGUCCGGUCCUCGAGCGUAUGGGGCUUCGUCACCCGCUCUGUAGGCCCGGCCGGCGCCCGCCGGCGACCCCAAUCAAUCUUUCCAGGUUGACCUCGGAUCAGGUAGGGAUACCCGCUGAACUUAAGCAUAUCAAUAAGCGGAGGA
rnacentral:misc_RNA from 1 species